rnacentral:rRNA from 1 species
GUAGAGGACCACCAAGCCUGAGAUCGGUACGGGCACUGAGAGGUGGAGCCCGGAGAUGGGGGCUGAGACACGGCCCCAGGCCCUACGGGGCGCAGCAGGCGCGAAAACUCCGCAAUACGCGAAAGCGUGACGGGGGAACUCCAAGUGCGCUCGCGCAAGCGAGUGCUUUUGCAGAGUCUAAAAAGCUCUGAGAAUAAAAGCGGGGUAAGACCGGUGCCAGCCGCCGCGGUAACACCGGCCGCUUGAGUGGUGACCGCUAUUAUUGGGCCUAAAGCGUCCGUAGCCAGUUUGGCAAGUCCUUAGAUAAAUCCACUCGUUCCACGAAUGGAAUUCUAAAGAUACUGCCAGACUCGGGGGCGAGAGAAGUCGGAGGUACUUCUAGGGUAGCGGUGAAAUGUUGUAAUCCUAGAGGGACCACCAGUGGCGAAGGCGUCCGACUAGAGCGUGCCCGACGGUGAGGGACGAAAGCCAGGGGAGCGAACGGGAUUAGAUACCCCGGUAGUCCUGGCCGUAAACGCUGUGGGCUAGGUGUUACGUCCUCUACGUGGGGGCGUAGUGCCGAAGAGAAGUUGAUAAGCCUACCGCCUGGGAAGUAUUACCGCAAGGUAGAAACUUAAAGGUAUUGGCGGGGGAGCACUACAAGGGGUGAAGUCUGCGGUUCAAUUGGAUUCUACGCCGGAUAUCUCACCGGGGGCGACGGCAGAAUGAAGGCCAAGCUGACGACUUUGCUGAACGAGCCGAGAGGAGGUGCAUGGCCGUCGUCAGCUCGUACCGUGAGGCGUCCUGUUAAGUCAGGCAACGAGCGAGACCCGUGCCCUUAUUUGUCAGCUGUUCGCGCAAGCGAGCAAGACACAUUAAGGGGACCGCUUGCGAUAAGCAAGAGGAAGGAGCGAGCAACGAUAGGUCAGUAUGCCCCGAAUCUCCCGGGCUACACGCGGACUGCAAUGGCUGGUACAAUGGGCUCUGACUUCGAAAGAAGGAGGAAAUCCCGAAAACCAGUCCCAGUUCGGAUUGAGGGCUGUAACUCGCCCUCAUGAAGCCGGAACCCCUAGUAAUCGCGUCUCAUUACGGCGCGGUGAAUAUGUCCCUGCUCCUUGCACACACCGCCCGUCACACCACCCGAGUGAGGUUUAGACGAGAUGCCGUCUGAAAAGGUGGUAUCGAGUCUAG